UGCUAGGUGGUUGCUAAUGUGUUGCUAGGUGGUUGCUAAGGUGUUGCUAUGGUAUCCGGGGUGGUUGCUAGGUGGUUGCUAAGGUGUUGCUAUGGUAUCCGGGGUGGUUGUUAAGGUGUUGCUAGGUGGUUGCUAAGGUGUUACUAUGGUAUCCGCGGUGGUUGCUAAGGUGUUGCUAGGUGGUUGCUAAAGUGUUGCUAGGCGGUUGCUAAGGUGUUACUAUGGUAUCCGCGGUGGUUGCUAGGUGGUUGCUAAGGUGUUGCUAGGUGGUUGCUAAGGUGUUGCUAUGGUAUCCGGGGUGGUUGCUAGGGUGUUGCUAGGUGGUUGCUAAGGUGUUGCUAGGCGGUUGCUAAGGUGUUGCUAGGUGGUUGCUAAGGUGUUGCUAUGGUAUCCGGGGUGGUUGCAAGGUGGUUGCUAG